GUACGUUUUAACAAUAUGUACCGGAUUAUAGUAGACAAAAAUAUCCUCAUUUUUUCAUGGAUUCUAAGUUUUAAGGUCAAAGAUAUUUAAAUAAUUUUCAUUCUCAACACUAAAAAAAAUAAAAAGAAACCCCCAAACCCUUACUCACCUCCCUCAUUCCUCUCAACCCUUUCUCUUUCAUCUCUCUCACUCCAACAUUUUCUCUGUCAUCCCUACUGUUGUCCCAAUUAAAAAAAAAAUAAAAAAUCAGAAACCCUUGCCUAAUCCCAAUCCACCUUCCUCACUUAUCCAAUUUGUUUCUCUCUCGUCUCCAUACUCUCCCUCAGCC
rnacentral:lncRNA from 1 species